UUCUCACAUUUACCUAUUUUAGGAGGGUGGGGUAUUAAUCCCAUAUGACUUUCUGCUUUUUUACAUUGGUUUAUACUUGGCUUUCACUAGUGUGACAUUCAUCUGUAACCCUGUGGUCAGUCUGCUGUGAAAAUAAUCCUAUCGUAUUGUAUAUUCUGUAUCCUGUAGGCAAAGAUGAAGCAGUUGUUUGAAGCAUGGUGAAAACUGUCCGAUUCUCAACAGCAGCCAUACGUGCAGCUUGCUGAAGAUGAUAAGGUUCGGUACGAGAAUGAAAUGCAGUUGUGGGAA